ensembl:lncRNA
CGCGCGCUGUGGGGGCGCUCAGGAGGCAGCCCACGCGGGGCCUCCGCUUAGGAGCAGGAAGGCAGGGGCUGCAGGAGCCUAUGGUGGAGGAGCUAGGCACCAUCGUCCAUCAAGGUUGUAACCGACGGACAUCAGGCCGAGGAGCAGAGAAGGGGCCGACCGCGGGGGAGAGCAGGAGGACAGAGCCUUCCAGGCAGACAGCGCGGCCUGUGCAAAGGCCCUGCUCCCUCUUGUGGAUGACCCGAGGGAGGAGCUGGAGGACCCAGAGCAGUGGAGACCGCAGCCGAGGCUAGAGUGGCCCCUGGAGGAGGGGCGCUCUCUCUGUCCGUCCCAGGGCUGGUUCUCCUGACUUCUCCUCGAACCCAUGGCGGGGGGGGCGGGCAGGAGCUGCCAGCUCAGCGCUUCGGACUCGGGGCUCAGUCGUACAGACGUUGUGGGGGUGCUGGAAGGAAUCAGCUUGGGGGUGAAAAUCCCAGCCCAUCUCCCAGGCAGACACUGUUAGAUUGGGGGAUGGGGAGCUGCCGGGGCCUCUUGGGCUGACUGGGGGAGCCGAAGAGGUGCAGGGCGUCUGGAUGGGGGCUUUGGGGGCCCGGGCGAGGACGGCUCGGAGGGGAAGAGGGUGCGAGGAGGAGGAAGGGAACAUUACUGCACCCGCCUGCCAGACCCCGAGUCCCCCAGGCCUGCGGCGUCUCCGGUGCAGGUCAGGAGCUGCCGCCAGGCGCACCGUGGGGAAGGCGGCUGCAGACCGGGCCCGGCGGGGCGGCGCCCCGGGGAGCGUCUGUGUCAACGGAGCCCGUGCUGGAGGAAGAGCCCAGCUGGGGGGCCUGGCCCCCACGGGUGCCCAGCCCGGUGCCAUCGCUCUCCAAACCCCUCCUUCUCUGGAAUAAAGGCAGCCAGAACCCUGCUGCGAACUGCCACUCGCGGCAAAUUCCCAGGACCGACCUGCAAGUUGAGGCAGGCGCUGCCGCGCCAGAGCAGGGAGCCAGGAAGAAGGCUGGGGGAGCCAGGGUGCGAGGGGUGACCCCUGAGGCGCUGCCUCCUCCUGAGGCCCAGGGACAUGGCCGCCCGAGGGCUCCUAGAGGAACUGAGCUGCUGGGCUGCAGGGCCAGCGACGGCUCUGAGGACCCCAAGGAGGACAGAAGUAAAAGUGACUGCUCAGAACACCAGGCGCAGUCGAUGACCACACUGUGUCCGCUGCCUGGCACAUGCGCACACCCUGCAUUUCAGGGGAGCCCCACCCCUUCGAGGCCCCACCCCAAGCGAGAGGGCUGCGGUGCUGUCCCCUUGCUGCCCGAGGCCGCUUCCCUGCCUUCCCCCUGCCGCAGGACCCUUCGCCUGCCUUACUAGGUCCAGGCGUGGAGAAGGGAACCCUGGGGACCUGGGGUCGCCCACAGAUGAGCUCUCUGAGUGUCUGGCGUAGGAGAAACCCGGACUUCGGAGCUCCAGAAAAAGACGAGGUGCAGAAGAAACACGGCCUGCCUGCAGGGAGAGGCUGAAAUGUGGGUGACGCCCCAGUCCCCACUGUCUGUCGCCUGGCUCCCCUCCUCACCCCAGCUACACGGCCGGUCCGCAGCCUCUGAGCCUGACAGCUCGGGCCCAGUGGCCUUGCCCUCCUGGGCAUCUCUGGCUUUGCCUUGUGCCCAGGAUCCAGGACAUCUCAUCCUGACCACACUGGGCACACAGCUGCCUCUCAGGCUGCCCGAAUCUUCACCAUGACAGCCACCUCCCAAGCCCCAGUGCUCAGCUGGCACAAUGACCCACUUCCUAUUGUCCUUCGGACUGGCUCACUCCUAGUGGACCUGCAAUAUAUUUACUUUUUGGCACUACCAGGGACUGAAUCCAGGGCCUUCACACUGAGCUCCAUCCUUGGCCCUUUUUUAUUUUUUAUUUUCACACAGUGUCUCCCUAGAUCGCUAAGUUACCCAGGUUGGGCUCAAACUUUCGACCCUCAGCCUCCCAGAGUGCUGGGAUGACAAGUGCACUGCCACACCUGGCUGCAAACUUUACUUUUCUCUUGGAAAUGUCAAGAGAACUACUGUGAAUAACAGGCACUGUCCCGCAGCGCCAGGGGCCAGGGCCGCCUUCGGGAUUCCUCUGAGGGAUUGUAUUUCCCUUUUGUGGAUUAGCAGAGAGCCUCUCAGAACAGCCAGGCCCGAGCUACCUGCUCGCCCCGAACCGAGUCGCCGUGGCCUAGGAAGGACAACCGCCGCCCUCCACAUUUGAAGUGGACUUUGGAUUUGCU